rnacentral:pre_miRNA from 1 species
UAAAUACUCCCUCCGUCCCAAAAUUCUUGUCUUAGAUUUGUCUAGAUACGGGUGUAUCUAAUACUAAAACGUGACUUGAUACAUCCGUAUUUAGACAAAUCUAAGACAAGAAUUUUGGGACGGAGGGAGUACGUA